GACGAACGCUGGCGGCGUGCUUAACACAUGCAAGUCGAGCGGAAAGGCCACUUCGGUGGUACUCGAGCGGCGAACGGGUGAGUAACACGUGAGUAAUCUGCCCCUCACUUUGGGAUAGCCCCGGGAAACUGGGAUUAAUACCGGAUAUGAUCACCGGCCGCAUGGUCUGGUGGUGGAAAGUUUUUCGGUGGGGGAUGUGCUCGCGGCCUAUCAGCUUGUUGGUGGGGUAAUGGCCUACCAAGGCUUCGACGGGUAGCCGGCCUGAGAGGGUGACCGGCCACACUGGGACUGAGACACGGCCCAGACUCCUACGGGAGGCAGCAGUGGGGAAUAUUGGACAAUGGGCGGAAGCCUGAUCCAGCAACGCCGCGUGAGGGAUGACGGCCUUCGGGUUGUAAACCUCUUUCAGCGGGGACGAAGCACGAGUGACGGUACCCGCAGAAGAAGCACCGGCCAACUACGUGCCAGCCGCCGCGGUAAAAC
rnacentral:rRNA from 1 species